rnacentral:rRNA from 1 species
CGGGUGAGUACAACAUAGGAAAUCUGCCUUAGGGUGGGGGACAACAGAGGGAAACUUCUGCUAAUACCCCAUAUGAGCUUGGUUGAAAUACCAAUCUUGAAAGUUCCGGCGCCCUAAGAUGAGCCUGUGCCUGAUUAGCUAGUUGGUGGUGUAAUGGACUACCAAGGCGACGAUCAGUAGCUGGUUUGAGGGGAUGAUCAGCCACAAUGGGACUGAGACACGGCCCAUACUCCUACGGAAGGCAGCAG